AGUGGGUGAACUAAUAUGCAUUGACAUUGGUUCACUCUUGUCUCUUGUGCUCUCCUGCAACCUGAUUCUAAUAUACAUAAGAAUAGUUUGAUAAUUGUUUAACUAUCAUUUAAAUAAUCUAAUAAAUAAAUAGUAAAAUUAUUAAUUAGUAUUUGUUAAAAAACAACUAAUCGCCAAAAUGUUUAGAUUUUUUGUAACAUUCAGUCUUGGUGUUUAUACUGGAAUAUACGUAUCUCAAAACUAUGAAGUACCCAAGGUCGACGAUCCAUCCAAAAUUAUUGAAAUGAUAAGAGAUUUUGCUGAAAAUCAUAAAAAAAAGUAGUCAAUCAUCACUUAAAACAAUAAACAAUAUGGUUAGGUUCA